rnacentral:rRNA from 1 species
UACGGGGGGGGCAAGCGUUGUUCGGAAUUACUGGGCGUAAAGGGUUCGUAGGUGGCCAACUAAGUCAGACGUGAAAUCCCUCAGCUCAACUGGGGAACUGCGUCUGAUACUGAUUGGCUUGAGUGCAGGAGAGGAGCGCGGAAUUCCAGGUGUAGCGGUGAAAUGCGUAGAUAUCUGGAGGAACACCGGUGGCGAAGGCGGCGUUCUGGACUGCAACUGACACUGAGGAACGAAAGCCAGGGGAGCAAACGGG